rnacentral:rRNA from 1 species
UGCGUAGGCGGCUUUGUGUGUCAGAGGUGAAAGCCCACGGCUCAACCGUGGAAUUGCCUUUGAAACUGCAAGGCUUGAGUCCGAGAGAGGAAGACGGAAUUCCUGGUGUAACGGUGAAAUGUGCAGAUAUCAGGAAGAACACCGGUGGCGAAGGCGGUCUUCUGGCUCGGUACUGACGCUGAGGCACGAAAGCUAGGGUAUCGAACG